AGUGAACGCUGGCGGCAGGCCUAAUACAUGCAAGUCGAACGGCAGCACAGCAGAGCUUGCUCUGUGGGUGGCGAGUGGCGGGCGGGUUAGGAAUACAUGGGAAUCUGCCCAGUCGUGGGGGAUAACGUAUGGAAACGUACGCUAAUACCGCAUGCGCCCUUUGGGGGAAAGCCGGGGACCUUCGAGCCUGUCGCGAUUGGAUGAGCCCAUGUUCGAUUAGCUAGUUGGCGGGGUAAAGGCCCACCAAGGCGACGAUCUAUAGCUGGUCUGAGAGGAUGAUCAGCCACACUGGGACUGAGACACGGCCCAGACUCCUACGGGAGGCAGCAGUAGGGAAUAUUGGACAAUGGGCGAAAGCCUGAUCCAGCCAUGCCGCGUGAGUGAAGAAGGUCCUCGGGUUGUAAAGCUCUUUUGGCCGGAAAGAAGAGCAUUCGGUUAAUACCCGGGUGUUCUGACGGUACCGGAAGAAUAAGCACCGGCUAACUUCGUG
rnacentral:rRNA from 1 species